rnacentral:rRNA from 1 species
GAUUGACUAAGGUUUCCAGAGGAAGGCUCGUCCGCUCUGGGUUAGUCGGGUCCUAAGCUGAGGCCGACAGGCGUAGGCGAUGGAUAACAGGUUGAUAUUCCUGUACCACCUAUAAUCGUUUUAAUCGAUGGGGGGACGCAGUAGGAUAGGCGAAGCGUGCGAUUGGAUUGCACGUCUAAGCAGUAAGGCUGAGUAUUAGGCAAAUCCGGUACUCGUUAAGGCUGAGCUGUGAUGGGGAGAAGACAUUGUGUCUUCGAGUCGUUGAUUUCACACUGCCGAGAAAAGCCUCUAGAUAGAAAAUAGGUGCCCGUACCGCAAACCGACACAGGUAGUCAAGAUGAGAAUUCUAAGGUGAGCGAGCGAACUCUCGUUAAGGAACUCGGCAAAAUGACCCCGUAACUUCGGGAGAAGGGGUGCUCUUUAGGGUUAACGCCCAGAAGAGCCGCAGUGAAUAGGCCCAAGCGACUGUUUAUCAAAAACACAGGUCUCUGCUAAACCGUAAGGUGAUGUAUAGGGGCUGACGCCUGCCCGGUGCUGGAAGGUUAAGAGGAGUGGUUAGCUUCUGCGAAGCUACGAAUCGAAGCCCCAGUAAACGGCGGCCGUAACUAUAACGGUCCUAAGGUAGCGAAAUUCCUUGUCGGGUAAGUUCCGACCCGCACGAAAGGCGUAACGAUUUGGGCACUGUCUCAACGAGAGACUCGGUGAAAUCAUAGUACCUGUGAAGAUGCAGGUUACCCGCGACAGGACGGAAAGACCCCGUGGAGCUUUACUGUAGCCUGAUAUUGAAAUUCGGCACAGCUUGUACAGGAUAGGUAGGAGCCUUUGAAACGUGAGCGCUAGCUUACGUGGAGGCGCUGGUGGGAUACUACCCUAGCUGUGUUGGCUUUCUAACCCGCACCACUUAUCGUGGUGGGAGACAGUGUCAGGCGGGCAGUUUGACUGGGGCGGUCGCC